AUACGGAGGACGCGAGCGUUAUCCGGAUUCAUUGGGUUUAAAGGGUGCGCAGGCGGCCGUGCAAGUCAGCGGUGAAAGCCCGGGGCUCAACCCCGGAAGUGCCGUUGAUACUGCGUGGCUGGAAUGCGGUCGAGGCGGGCGGGACGUGGCGGGGAGCGGGGAAAUGCGUAGAUAUGCCACAGAACGCCGAUAGCGGAGGCAGCUCGCCAGGCCUGCAUUGACGCUCGGGCACGAAAGCGUGGGGAUCGAACAGGAUUAGAUACCCUGGUAGUCCACGCCGUAAACGAUGGGCGCUCGUCGUCGGCGACAGACAGUCGGCGGCCAAGCGAAAGCGAUAAGCGCCCCACCUGGGGAGUACGGUCGCAAGGCUGAAACUCAAAUGAAUUGGCGGGG
rnacentral:rRNA from 1 species